UACGGAGGGGGCUAGCGUUGUUCGGAAUUACUGGGCGUAAAGCGCACGUAGGCGGAUCAGAAAGUUGGGGGUGAAAUCCCAGGGCUCAACCCUGGAACUGCCUUCAAAACUCCUGGUCUUGAGUUCGAGAGAGGUGAGUGGAAUUCCGAGUGUAGAGGUGAAAUUCGUAGAUAUUCGGAGGAACACCAGUGGCGAAGGCGGCUCACUGGCUCGAUACUGACGCUGAGGUGCGAAAGCGUGGGGAGCAAACAGG
rnacentral:rRNA from 1 species